UCCUAGCCCCGAUGGGAACGACAUCCUUUUUUGUUUUUUGGCAAAGGAAAUAAAGUUUGGGAAAACAAAAAAGAUAUAGUGGACAGCGGGAAAUAGC
rnacentral:sRNA from 1 species